rnacentral:rRNA from 1 species
UACGUAGGGUGCGAGCGUUAAUCGGAAUUACUGGGCGUAAAGCGUGCGCAGGCGGUUUUGUAAGACAGGCGUGAAAUCCCCGGGCUCAACCUGGGAAUGGCGCUUGUGACUGCAAAGCUGGAGUGCGGCAGAGGGGGAUGGAAUUCCGCGUGUAGCAGUGAAAUGCGUAGAUAUGCGGAGGAACACCGAUGGCGAAGGCAAUCCCCUGGGCCUGCACUGACGC